ACAAUCCUACGGGGGGCAGCAGUGGGGGAUAUUGCACAAUGGGGGAAACCCUGAUGCAGCGACGCCGCGUGAGUGAAGAAGUAUUUCGGUAUGUAAAGCUCUAUCGGCAGGGAAGAAAAAGCGCGCGAGCGCCCUUGACAGUACCUGACUAAGAAGCCCCGGCUAACUACGUGCCAGCAGCCGCGGUAAUACGUAGGGGGCAAGCGUUAUCCGGAUUUACUGGGGGGAAAGGGAGCGUAGGCGGCCAUGCAAGUCAGAAGUGAAAACCCGGGGCUCAACCCUGGGGGUGCUUUUGAAACUGUGCG
rnacentral:rRNA from 1 species